rnacentral:rRNA from 1 species
AGAGUUUGAUCAUGGCUCAGGACGAACGCUGGCGGCGUGCCUAAAACAUGCAAGUCGAACGGUGUAGCAAUACACAGUGGCGAACGGCGGAGUAAUACAUGAACAACGUGCCCGGAAGACUGGGAUAGUCAGGGGAAACCCUGGGUAAUACCAGAUGUGGCCACUCUUUGGCAUCUUAGAGUGAUUAAAUGGUUUUUCGCUUCCGGAGCGGUUCAUGGCCUAUCAGGUAGUUGGUGAGGUAAUGGCUCACCAAGCCGACGACGGGUAGCGGGUCUGAGAGGAUGACCCGCUCGAGUGGGACUGAGACACGGCCCACACACCUACGGGUGGCAGCAGUUGGGAAUCUUGCACAAUGGGGGAAACCCUGAUGCAGCGACGCCGCGUGGAGGAUGAAGGAUCUAGGUCCGUAAACUCCUUUUUCAGGGAAAGACUUAGGACGGUACCCUGAGAAUAAGGACCGGCUAACUACGUGCCAGCAGCCGCGGUAAGACGUAGGGUCCAAGCGUUGUCCGGAUUUACUGGGCGUAAAGAGCGCGUAGGCGGCUCGUUAAGUGUGAAGUGAAAUCUCCAGGGCUCAACCCGGAAACUGCUUUACAUACUGGCGAGCUGGAGUGAUGAAGAGGUUUGUGGAAUUCCUGGUGUAGCGGUGAAAUGCGUUGAUAUCAGGAGGAACACCCAUGGCGAAGGCAGCAAACUGGUCAUCAACUGACGCUGAGGCGCGAAAGCGUGGGUAGCAAACAGGAUUAGAUACCCUAGUAGUCC